rnacentral:rRNA from 1 species
UACGGGGGGGGCAAGCGUUGUUCGGAAUUACUGGGCGUAAAGGGCUCGUAGGUGGCCAACUAAGUCGGACGUGAAAUCCCUCGGCUUAACCGGGGAACUGCGUCUGAUACUGGAUGGCUUGAAUCCGGGAGAGGGAUGCGGAAUUCCAGGUGUAGCGGUGAAAUGCGUAGAUAUCUGGAGGAACACCGGUGGCGAAGGCGGCAUCCUGGACCGGUAUUGACGCUGAGGCGCGAAAGCCAGGGGAGCAAACGGG